rnacentral:tRNA from 1 species
UGCGGGAUGGAGCAGUGGUAGCUCGUCAGGCUCAUAACCUGAAGGUCGCAGGUUCGAAUCCUGCUCCCGCUA